rnacentral:rRNA from 1 species
AACGUAGGAGACAAACGUUAUCCGGAGUUACUGGGCGUAAAGGGCGUGUAGGCGGUUCGUUAAGUCUGGCGUGAAAGCUCUCGGCUAAACCGGGAGAGGUCGCUGGAUACUGGCAAACUAGAGGACGGUAGAGGCGUGUGGAAUUCCGGGUGUAGUGGUGAAAUGCGUAGAGAUCCGGAGGAACACCAGUGGCGAAGGCGACACGCUGGGCCGUACCUGACGCUAAAGCGCGACAGCAUGGGGAGCAAACGGG